rnacentral:rRNA from 1 species
AUGAACGCUGGCGGUAUGCUUAACACAUGCAAGUCGAACGCAGACUUUCGGGUCUGAGUGGCGGACGGGUGAGUAACGCGUGAGAAUCUGGCUUCAGGUUGGGGACAACCACGGGAAACGGUGGCUAAUACCCAAUGUGCCUAUAAGGUGAAAGUUUAAUUGCCUGAAGAUGAGCUCGCGUCUGAUUAGCUAGUUGGUGGGGUAAGAGCUCACCAAGGCGACGAUCAGUAGCUGGUCUGAGAGGACGAUCAGCCACACUGGGACUGAGACACGGCCCAGACUCAUACGGGAGGAAGCGGUGGGGAAUUUUCCGCAAUGGGCGAAAGCCUGACGGAGCAAUACCGCGUGAGGGAGGAAGGCUCUUGGGUUGUAAACCUCUUUUCUCAGGGAAGAAGGCAAUGACGGUACCUGAGGAAUCAGCAUCGGCUAACUCCGUG